UCCCUGGUGGUCUAGUGGUUAGGACUCAGUGCUUUCAUCCCUGUGGCCCAGGUUCAAUCCCUGGCCUGGGAA
rfam:Sus scrofa isolate TJ Tabasco breed Duroc chromosome 1, whole genome shotgun sequence.